rnacentral:rRNA from 1 species
AGUAGUUUGAUCAUGGCUACAGGAUAACGCUGGCGGCGUGCCUAACACAUGCAAGUCGAACGAUCCCGCAAGGGAGAGUGGCGGAAGGGUGAGUAACACGUGGGAAUCUACCUCCUCGCAGGGAACAACCUCUCGAAAGAGAGGCUAAUACCCAAAAGGGUCAGAAAUGAUCAGAGUCGAAAGGCGUGAGGAGAGGAGCCCGCGGCCCAUCAGCUAGUUGGUGAGGUAAUGGCUUACCAAGGCUACGACGGGUAGGGGAUCUGAGAGGAUGUCCCCCACACUGGAACUGAAACACGGUCCAGACGCCUACGGGUGGCAGCAGUGAGGAAUAUUGGACAAUGGGCGAAAGCCCGAUCCAGCAACGCCGCGUGGAGGAUGAAGGCCUUCGGGUCGUAAACUUCUUUAGAGGGAGACGAGAAAGGACGGUAUCCCUAGAAUAAGCGACGGCAAACUACGUG